GUUGGCCCUGAAGUGAUCUCUGGUCUCCCUGAUUUAAGCCCCUUGCACACCUGUGGACAUCAACAUUGACAGAACCUGCAAACCUGACGGGAUCAGGGUUUCCUGGGCUAAUUCGUCUGUGGCGCAGUACUUCCUCCUGACGGUCACAUGGAGCGACGGGAAGACGCAGACCCAUAACACAUCGGUGAACAGCUAUACUAUCUCCAAGCUGCCGUGUGGCCGCACCUACUCCUUGUCCAUCACUGCCUUCGCGGGAAACUGCAGCACCCCCGCCAGCUCAGCCGUCACCUUCAGCACGGAGCCUUGUGUCCCAACCAACCUGCAGGUAGAGAUGCAGUGCUAUGCCAACUCGUCGAUGCUCUCCUGGGAUGCCAGCAACGGAUCCAAAGAGUACUUUGCAUAUGCGCAGAGUGGCAAUGGGGACACAUUGUACUGCCACAGCAUCAACACCACCUGCACCUUCAGACGACUGCAAUGCGGCUCCACGUACAACUUCUCAGUACGGGCCUCCAAUGGCAUCUGUAACAGCUCCUUCAGCAUGCCAGCUGAGAAGGGAGCAGCUCCAUGUGCCCCUGAUGCGGUUCGCACGCGACUGCUGCCCAUGGAGAAACAGGUGCAGACCGUGUUGGUGUCCUGGGAGCCCGUGCACUGUCCCAAUGUCACAUACCUGGUGGAUAUGACUGGCAGCAUAGAGGGUGAUCCCCAAAAGCUCAUCCAUGUGUUCUCCUAUUGGACACAAGUAACCUUCUUUGAGAUCCCGCUUCCCUGUGGCACCAAGUACAGUGUAACAGUCCAAUCCAGGAACCCUGCAGGGGUCAGCAAACCGUCAGCGGCGAA
rnacentral:lncRNA from 1 species